GUGCCAUAGUUCAGUGGUAAAGAAUUUGCUUUGCACGCAGAAGGUCCUAGGUACAAUCCCCAGUGGCAACU